AAGUCGUAACAAGGUUUCCGUAGGUGAACCUGCGGAAGGAUCAUUAUUGAAUGAACUUGGCGUGGUUGUCGCUGGCCCUCUCGGGGGUAUGUGCACGCCCGUCAUCUUUAUCUUUCCACCUGUGCACACUUUGUAGACUUGAAUAGUAUUUUCUGAGGCAACUCAGUCGGGAGGAUUGCUGGUAUUUAUCAGCUCUCCUUGCAUUAUUCAAGCCUAUGUUUUUCAUAUACCCCAAAAAUGUAACAGAAUGUAUCAUUGGGCCUUGUGCCUAUAAACUAUAUACAACUUUCAGCAACGGAUCUCUUGGCUCUC
rnacentral:misc_RNA from 1 species